GAUGAACGCUGGCGGCGUGCCUAAUACAUGCAAGUCGAGCGAACAGACGAGGAGCUUGCUCCUCUGACGUUAGCGGCGGACGGGUGAGUAACACGUGGAUAACCUACCUAUAAGACUGGGAUAACUUCGGGAAACCGGAGCUAAUACCGGAUAAUAUAUUGAACCGCAUGGUUCAAUAGUGAAAGACGGUUUUGCUGUCACUUAUAGAUGGAUCCGCGCCGCAUUAGCUAGUUGGUAAGGUAACGGCUUACCAAGGCGACGAUGCGUAGCCGACCUGAGAGGGUGAUCGGCCACACUGGAACUGAGACACGGUCCAGACUCCUACGGGAGGCAGCAGUAGGGAAGCUUCCGCAAAGGGCGAAAGCCUGACGGAGCAACGCCGCGUGAGUGAUGAAGGUCUUCGGAUCGUAAAACUCUGUUAUUAGGGAAGAACAAAUGUGUAAGUAACUAUGCACGUCUUGACGGUACCUAAUCAGAAAGCCACGGCUAACUACGUG
rnacentral:rRNA from 1 species